rnacentral:rRNA from 2 species
UUGAACGCUGGCGGCAUGCCUAACACAUGCAAGUCGAACGGCAGCACAGCAGUAGCAAUACUGUGGGUGGCGAGUGGCGGACGGGUGAGUAAUGCAUCGGGAUCUACCCAAACGUGGGGGAUAACGUAGGGAAACUUACGCUAAUACCGCAUACGUCCUAAGGGAGAAAGCGGGGGACCGAAAGGCCUCGCGCGGUUGGACGAACCGAUGUGCGAUUAGCUAGUUGGUAGGGUAAUGGCCUACCAAGGCGACGAUCGCUAGCUG